rnacentral:rRNA from 1 species
GGUUAAGCGACUAAGCGUACACGGUGGAUGCCCUGGCAGUCAGAGGCGAUGAAGGACGUGCUAAUCUGCGAUAAGCGUCGGUAAGGUGAUAUGAACCGUUAUAACCGGCGAUUUCCGAAUGGGGAAACCCAGUGUGUUUCGACACACUAUCAUUAACUGAAUCCAUAGGUUAAUGAGGCGAACCGGGGGAACUGAAACAUCUAAGUACCCCGAGGAAAAGAAAUCAACCGAGAUUCCCCCAGUAGCGGCGAGCGAACGGGGAGGAGCCCAGAGCCUGAAUCAGUGUGUGUGUUAGUGGAAGCGUCUGGAAAGGCGCGCGAUACAGGGUGACAGCCCCGUACACAAAAAUGCACAUGCUGUGAGCUCGAUGAGUAGGGCGGGACACGUGGUAUCCUGUCUGAAUAUGGGGGGACCAUCCUCCAAGGCUAAAUACUCCUGACUGACCGAUAGUGAACCAGUACCGUGAGGGAAAGGCGAAAAGAACCCCGGCGAGGGGAGUGAAAAAGAACCUGAAACCGUGUACGUACAAGCAGUGGGAGCCUCUUUAUGGGGUGACUGCGUACCUUUUGUAUAAUGGGUCAGCGACUUAUAUUCUGUAGCAAGGUUAACCGAAUAGGGGAGCCGAAGGGAAACCGAGUCUUAACUGGGCGUUAAGUUGCAGGGUAUAGACCCGAAACCCGGUGAUCUAGCCAUGGGCAGGUUGAAGGUUGGGUAACACUAACUGGAGGACCGAACCGACUAAUGUUGAAAAAUUAGCGGAUGACUUGUGGCUGGGGGUGAAAGGCCAAUCAAACCGGGAGAUAGCUGGUUCUCCCCGAAAGCUAUUUAGGUAGCGCCUCGUGAAUUCAUCUCCGGGGGUAGAGCACUGUUUCGGCAAGGGGGUCAUCCCGACUUACCAACCCGAUGCAAACUGCGAAUACCGGAGAAUGUUAUCACGGGAGACACACGGCGGGUGCUAACGUCCGUCGUGAAGAGGGAAACAACCCAGACCGCCAGCUAAGGUCCCAAAGUCAUGGUUAAGUGGGAAACGAUGUGGGAAGGCCCAGACAGCCAGGAUGUUGGCUUAGAAGCAGCCAUCAUUUAAAGAAAGCGUAAUAGCUCACUGGUCGAGUCGGCCUGCGCGGAAGAUGUAACGGGGCUAAACCAUGCACCGAAGCUGCGGCAGCGACGCUUAUGCGUUGUUGGGUAGGGGAGCGUUCUGUAAGCCUGUGAAGGUGUGCUGUGAGGCAUGCUGGAGGUAUCAGAAGUGCGAAUGCUGACAUAAGUAACGAUAAAGCGGGUGAAAAGCCCGCUCGCCGGAAGACCAAGGGUUCCUGUCCAACGUUAAUCGGGGCAGGGUGAGUCGACCCCUAAGGCGAGGCCGAAAGGCGUAGUCGAUGGGAAACAGGUUAAUAUUCCUGUACUUGGUGUUACUGCGAAGGGGGGACGGAGAAGGCUAUGUUGGCCGGGCGACGGUUGUCCCGGUUUAAGCGUGUAGGCUGGUUUUCCAGGCAAAUCCGGAAAAUCAAGGCUGAGGCGUGAUGACGAGGCACUACGGUGCUGAAGCGACAAAUGCCCUGCUUCCAGGAAAAGCCUCUAAGCAUCAGGUAACAUCAAAUCGUACCCCAAACCGACACAGGUGGUCAGGUAGAGAAUACCAAGGCGCUUGAGAGAACUCGGGUGAAGGAACUAGGCAAAAUGGUGCCGUAACUUCGGGAGAAGGCACGCUGAUAUGUAGGUGAAGCGACUUGCUCGUGGAGCUGAAAUCAGUCGAAGAUACCAGCUGGCUGCAACUGUUUAUUAAAAACACAGCACUGUGCAAACACGAAAGUGGACGUAUACGGUGUGACGCCUGCCCGGUGCCGGAAGGUUAAUUGAUGGGGUUAGCGCAAGCGAAGCUCUUGAUCGAAGCCCCGGUAAACGGCGGCCGUAACUAUAACGGUCCUAAGGUAGCGAAAUUCCUUGUCGGGUAAGUUCCGACCUGCACGAAUGGCGUAAUGAUGGCCAGGCUGUCUCCACCCGAGACUCAGUGAAAUUGAACUCGCUGUGAAGAUGCAGUGUACCCGCGGCAAGACGGAAAGACCCCGUGAACCUUUACUAUAGCUUGACACUGAACAUUGAGCCUUGAUGUGUAGGAUAGGUGGGAGGCUUUGAAGUGUGGACGCCAGUCUGCAUGGAGCCGACCUUGAAAUACCACCCUUUAAUGUUUGAUGUUCUAACGUUGGCCCGUAAUCCGGGUUGCGGACAGUGUCUGGUGGGUAGUUUGACUGGGGCGGUCUCCUCCUAAAGAGUAACGGAGGAGCACGAAGGUUGGCUAAUCCUGGUCGGACAUCAGGAGGUUAGUGCAAUGGCAUAAGCCAGCUUGACUGCGAGCGUGACGGCGCGAGCAGGUGCGAAAGCAGGUCAUAGUGAUCCGGUGGUUCUGAAUGGAAGGGCCAUCGCUCAACGGAUAAAAGGUACUCCGGGGAUAACAGGCUGAUACCGCCCAAGAGUUCAUAUCGACGGCGGUGUUUGGCACCUCGAUGUCGGCUCAUCACAUCCUGGGGCUGAAGUAGGUCCCAAGGGUAUGGCUGUUCGCCAUUUAAAGUGGUACGCGAGCUGGGUUUAGAACGUCGUGAGACAGUUCGGUCCCUAUCUGCCGUGGGCGCUGGAGAACUGAGGGGGGCUGCUCCUAGUACGAGAGGACCGGAGUGGACGCAUCACUGGUGUUCGGGUUGUCAUGCCAAUGGCACUGCCCGGUAGCUAAAUGCGGAAGAGAUAAGUGCUGAAAGCAUCUAAGCACGAAACUUGCCCCGAGAUGAGUUCUCCCUGACCCUUUAAGGGUCCUGAAGGAACGUUGAAGACGACGACGUUGAUAGGCCGGGUGUGUAAGCGCAGCGAUGCGUUGAGCUAACCGGUACUAAUGAACCGUGAGGCUUAACCUU